rnacentral:misc_RNA from 1 species
AACAGGUUUUAAUUGCUAUUGAUCUGUAUAUUUACCCUCAGGAAGGAACGGACAGACAUUGAAAUGAACGUUGAAAAUUACUGUUCGGUAAUAUCGAGAUGACAGAAGGAUAUAUUUAAAUACUAAGUAAAUAAAAGGUAUUAACGUUUCUUUUCGUACACAAAAUCAUUGACGAAAUAUUUACAUUUGUGUUUUUUGCUUUACAAGCAAUGAAAGGAUCGAACAGAAGUCUAUUUUAAGUGCUCUUUUAAAUUCAAAAGUUUUACGUACAUCGAUAAACCUCAUAAUCAAAACAAGGACUCGAUCAUAGUUUGACAGUAAGCUGAUAUCAUAAAUAUGAGUGGUGAUAAUAUAUAUAAUGAACAUAAAAACAGUAAUCAGCAAAACGACAAUGAAAUCAAUAACCCACUGAAUAAAGAGGACAUCGUUAUGAAUUGUGAAACGGAAAAAUUUCACCUCAAGUCAGUAUCGAAUGAUGCUAACAUCUAUCCUACUCCAGAAACACUACAAAAUGUUAAUUUUGUGAAAUUUCCGAUUGUUCUUCACAAAGCUGAUACAAAAGAUGCCGAACGAAAAGGCUCAUGUAAGAACAUCACAGUGAAUAUUUUGGCAUUUUUGCUGGGACUAGCAGCAGGAGGAGUUGUUGGAAUGGCUCUAUUUGAUUCGUUUGAUAUAACGUCUUGGAUGAAACAGAACGACCGAUACAAUUCAAACACAGAUUGGUAUAGUCAGACGGGUAAAGAUGUUUCAUCGCUGUUCAAGUCGCUGAAUACAAUUGGUGAUAAAGAUCGUCCAGAAAAUAUUGCUUGUGUCAUUCUGAGUGACAGGGCUGAGUGGAUCAGGGAUAAUAUUAAGAUCUUCCAGACGUUCCACCCGUUUUGCUCCAGCGUCCAAGUGCGUCCAAAACACUCAAAAAGUUUGCUAUUUUCAGGAAUAGUCUCACAAUAUAUGAAGAUAUCCCAAAUAGAUGACUUAUCGUACCAGAAUGAUGAUGGCUUAAAGAUAAAUCCUCAAUGUGUUGUUUAUUUCAUGGAUGAAGAAGAAAAAAACACCAAUAUAAAAGUUCCUAUUCAUAUUCACAUAAUGGACAAACCUGCAAAAUCUCGAUAAACGUCUGGAAUAUAUAUAUGUAAAAACCUAAAUGCUCAUAAUGUUAACUCGAUCUGAACCAAAGAGUACCGAGUGUACCUUACUGAACUAGUUAGCGCAUUAUUAUGGAUAUGGCUGAGAACGCUCAUUAAUUCAAUUAAAAAUAUUUUUCAACUGAACUAAAACUUUUUGCUU